rnacentral:rRNA from 1 species
UACGUAGGGUGCAAGCGUUGUCCGGAAUUAUUGGGCGUAAAGAGCUCGUAGGCGGCUUGCCGCGUCGGCUGUGAAAACCUGGGGCUCAACCCCGGGCCUGCAGCCGAUACGGGCAAGCUAGAAUUCGGUAGGGGAGACUGGAAUUCCUGGUGUAGCGGUGAAAUGCGCAGAUAUCAGGAGGAACACCGGUGGCGAAGGCGGGUCUCUGGGCCGAUAUUGACGCUGAGGAGCGAAAGCGUGGGGAGCGAACAGG